ACCUGGCGGCGUGCUUACCAUGCUAGUCGAGCGAGGUCCACCUUUCGGGGUGGUGUCCUAGCGGCGAACGGGUGAGUAACACGUGGGCAACCUGCCCUCAGCUCUGGGAUAACUCCAAGAAAUUGGGGCUAAUACCGGAUAUGACUGCUGACCGCAUGGUCUGGUGGUGGAAAGAUUUAUCGGCUGAGGAUGGGCCCGCGGCCUAUCAGCUUGUUGGUGGGGUAGUGGCCUACCAAGGCGACGACGGGUAGCCGGCCUGAGAGGGUGACCGGCCACACUGGGACUGAGACACGGCCCAGACUCCUACGGGAGGCAGCAGUGGGGAAUAUUGCGCAAUGGGCGAAAGCCUGACGCAGCGACGCCGCGUGGGGGAUGACGGCCUUCGGGUUGUAAACCUCUUUCAGCAGGGACGAAGCGAAAGUGACGGUACCUGCAGAAGAAGCACCGGCCAACUACGUGCCAGCAGCCGCGGUAAU
rnacentral:rRNA from 1 species